rnacentral:rRNA from 1 species
CUAGCCGUAAACGAUGGAUACUAGGCGUUGUGAGUAUCGACCCUCACAGUGUCGUAGCUAACGCGUUAAGUAUCCCGCCUGGGGAGUACGCGCGCAAGCGUGAAACUCAAAGGAAUUGACGGGGGCCCGCACAAGCGGUGGAGUACGAGGUUUAAUUCGAUGCAACGCGAAGAACCUUACCAGGACUUGACAUGUCGCGAAUCUCAGGGAAACCUGAGAGUGCCUUCGGGAGCGCGAACACAGGUGGUGC